rnacentral:pre_miRNA from 1 species
CAGCUCGCAAAGUGGUUGUGAGAUGUUGAGAUUAAUAUUUCAUAUCACAGCCAGCUUUGAUGAGCUAAA